rnacentral:rRNA from 1 species
GCUCAUGUAUUACAUGGGCUUUUGCCAAAGGUAAAUACUUUGGAGAAUAAGUGGUGGGUAAGACUGGUGCCAGCCGCCGCGGUAACACCAGCGCCACGAGUGGGGUUCAGGUUUAUUUGGUCUAAAGCGUCCGUAGCAGGUUCUAUAAAUUUUUUGUAAAAUUGUUGUGCUUAACGCAACAUAUGCAGAAAACACUGUAGAACUAGGAACUGGAAGGGGUAUGCAGUAUUCUUGGGGGAGCGGUAAAAUGUUAUAAUCCCAAGAGGACUACCGAUGCCGAAGGGAGCAUACCAGUACAGAUUCGACUGUGAGGGACGAAAGCCAGGGGAGCAAAACGGAUUAGAUACCCGUGUAGUCCUGGCCGUAAACACUGUGUGCCAGAUAUGGCGUAAACUCCGAGUUUGCGCCGUAUCGAAUCGAAGGAGUUAAGCACACCACCUGGGAAGUAUAGUCGCAAGGCCGAAA